CAUAACUCCGACCCUGAUGCGGAAAAAAGUGCCAAAUACUCACCAAAGAAGCAUGGCAACAAUCGGAGACGUCAUGCAAAAAAUGAAGUCAAUCGCAAAAUAAUUCGAUUUUUAAUAAUUAUUUUCCGAUUUUUAAGUGCCAUCUUUGGAUGGCCCUAGCUACCUUGUGGUUCAUUUCCGUAUAGGGGUUUAUUAAGCAAAGUUUAAUUUCUUUGAGCUCUACUAUACGUGGUUUCUUUUUUUGUAUUUUGAAACACCCUGUAUAAAUAAAUAUAUAACUA
rnacentral:lncRNA from 1 species